CUAAUACUGCAGUCGAGCGGACAGAUGGGAGCUUGCUCCCUGAUGUUAGCGGCGGACGGGUGAGUAACACGUGGGUAACCUGCCUGUAAGACUGGGAUAACUCCGGGAAACCGGGGCUAAUACCGGAUGGUUGUUUGAACCGCAUGGUUCAGACAUAAAAGGUGGCUUCGGCUACCACUUACAGAUGGACCCGCGGCGCAUUAGCUAGUUGGUGAGGUAACGGCUCACCAAGGCAACGAUGCGUAGCCGACCUGAGAGGGUGAUCGGCCACACUGGGACUGAGACACGGCCCAGACUCCUACGGGAGGCAGCAGUAGGGAAUCUUCCGCAAUGGACGAAAGUCUGACGGAGCAACGCCGCGUGAGUGAUGAAGGUUUUCGGAUCGUAAAGCUCUGUUGUUAGGGAAGAACAAGUGCCGUUCAAAUAGGGCGGCACCUUGACGGUACCUAACCAGAAAGCCACGGCUAACUACGUGCCAGCAGCCGCGGUAAUACGUAGGUGGCAAGCGUUGUCCGGAAUUAUUGGGCGUAAAGGGCUCGCAGGCGGUUUCUUAAGUCUGAUGUGAAAGCCCCCGGCUCAACCGGGGAGGGUCAUUGGAAACUGGGGAACUUGAGUGCAGAAGAGGAGAGUGGAAUUCCACGUGUAGCGGUGAAAUGCGUAGAGAUGUGGAGGAACACCAGUGGCGAAGGCGACUCUCUGGUCUGUAACUGACGCUUAGC
rnacentral:rRNA from 1 species